rnacentral:rRNA from 1 species
GUGCCAGCCGCCGCGGUAAUACGUAGGUGACGAGCGUUAUCCGGAAUUACUGGGCGUAAAGCGCACGCAGGCGGUUAAUCAAGUCUGACGUAAAAUCUCCUGGCUUAACUGGGAGGGGUCGUUGGAAACUGGUUGACUUGAGGCAAUGAGAGGGGUGUAGAAUUCCCGGUGUAGUGGUGGAAUGCGUAGAUAUCGGGAGGAAUACCAGAGGCGAAAGCGGCACCCUGGCAUUGGCCUGACGCUCAGGUGCGAAGGCGUGGGGAGCGAACGGGAUUAGAAACCCUUGUAGUCC